CCUGAUCCUUCUGCUGCCUUUACAGCGACA
rnacentral:piRNA from 1 species